rnacentral:sRNA from 1 species
AUGUCUCAUUCGUACACUAAGGUUCCUCCGCGCCGUCCCCACCCACCUGGCGACUGCUCGCUACGUUUCGUUAGCC